rnacentral:misc_RNA from 1 species
GCCAAGAAGGAGAAACAAUUGGUAUUUUGAAUUUCACCACAUUUUAUUAUUUUGUUUAUGCUGUUUAAAACUCAAAUUUCGUUGGACAAGUUUAUAUGUUCUCUUUUGCUGGCUGUUUCCAUCUUCCCAUCUAUGUUUCAAUAAUAUCAAUCUAUUCUGUUACUCAUUUCUUUGACUUAAUAGGUGGGAGAGAAGGGCCAUGUGA